UGGGGAAUUUUGGACAAUGGGCGAAAGCCUGAUCCAGCGAUGCCGCGUGUGUGAAGAAGGCCUUCGGGUUGUAAAGCACUUUUGUCCGGAAAGAAAUCCUUGGCUCUAAUACAGUCGGGGGAUGACGGUACCGGAAGAAUAAGCACCGGCUAACUACGUGCCAGCAGCCGCGGUAAUACGUAGGGUGCAAGCGUUAAUCGGAAUUACUGGGCGUAAAGCGUGCGCAGGCGGUUUGCUAAGACCGAUGUGAAAUCCCCGGGCUCAACCUGGGAACUGCAUUGGUGACUGGCAGGCUAGAGUAUGGCAGAGGGGGGUAGAAUUCCACGUGUAGCAGUGAAAUGCGUAGAGAUGUGGAGGAAUACCGAUGGCGAAGGCAGCCCCCUGGGCCAAUACUGACGCUCAUGCACGAAAGCGUGGGGAGCAAACAGGAUUAGAUACCCUGGUAGUCCAGCGCCCUAAACGAUGUCAACUAGUUGUUGGGGAUUCAUUUCCUUAGUAACGUAGCUAACGCGUGAAGUUGACCGCCUGGGGAGUACGGUCGCAAGAUUAAAACUCAAAGGAAUUGACGGGGU
rnacentral:rRNA from 1 species